rfam:Schistosoma rodhaini strain Burundi genome assembly, scaffold: SROB_scaffold0005653
GAACUGCUGAGGAGUCGCACAAUAGAACGAAACGACAGUCCAGUGC